GAUGAACGCUGGCGGCGUGCCUAAUACAUGCAAGUCGAGCGAACGGACGAGAAGCUUGCUUCUCUGAUGUUAGCGGCGGACGGGUGAGUAACACGUGGAUAACCUACCUAUAAGACUGGGAUAACUUCGGGAAACCGGAGCUAAUACCGGAUAAUAUUUUGAACCGCAUGGUUCAAAAGUGAAAGACGGUCUUGCUGUCACUUAUAGAUGGAUCCGCGCUGCAUUAGCUAGUUGGUAAGGUAACGGCUUACCAAGGCAACGAUGCAUAGCCGACCUGAGAGGGUGAUCGGCCACACUAGAACUGAGACACGGUCCAGACUCCUACGGGAGGCAGCAGUAGGGAAUCUUCCGCAAUGGGCGAAAGCUUGACGGAGCAACGCCGCGUGAGUGAUGAAGGUCUUCGGAUCGUAAAACUCUGUUAUUAGGGAAGAACAAAUGUGUAAGUAACUAUGCCCGUCUUGACGGUACCUAAUCAGAAAGCCACGGCUAACUACGUG
rnacentral:rRNA from 1 species